GGAUUAGAUACCCUGGUAGUCCACGCCGUAAACGAUGUCAACUAGCCGUUGGGGGUCUUAGUACCUUUAGUGGCGCAGCUAACGCAUUAAGUUGACCGCCUGGGGAGUACGGUCGCAAGACUAAAACUCAAAGGAAUUGACGGGGGCCCGCACAAGCGGUGGAGCAUGUGGUUUAAUUCGAUUCUACGCGAAGAACCUUACCUGGGCUUGACAUCCCGGGCUACCCUGGGAAACCAGGGGUUCUCUUCGGAGACCCGGUGACAGGUGCUGCAUGGCUGUCGUCAGCUCGUGCCG
rnacentral:rRNA from 1 species